rnacentral:rRNA from 1 species
GCACCCCCGUCAGGCGGUGCUACCCGCUGAGUUU